AAUAAUAGAACAAAGACUAAGAACGCCACGUCCUGUGGCAACGUCUUUGUGACCCACUUCGUGUGGG
rnacentral:sRNA from 1 species